UUCGCUUGCUGUGUGACGUCAGAACUCAUAACUGAGAGUACAUCGACCUAGUACGAGUUCAUGAGUGGGAAGUCAAGGGUUUGACUGACGUUCCAGUGCACUUUCACGGGUUUAAGGUUGGAAAAACACAGGUUACGGGUUGCCUGGAAUGUGGCAUGAGACUGUUUGUCAAGCAUUAGUUACUAUGAUGAACAAAACUGUGGUUACUCUUUUUGUACAUUUUGUGUGAAUUUCAGGAGAAAUCUGACUUAAUGUCCAAAUAAAAGUUGAUUAAAAGUAAUUUGAGAAGUUACUCUGAUAUCAAAAGAUAGCACAAACAUGCUCUAUACUUAACUAAUCAAUAAACUUAAAACUAAUACUUUUUUAUAUUUGUAUACAGAUUGUCCACUAAGCAGAAGGCUCAGAAUGAGGCAGUAGACACAUAUGCUUCUCUUCAGCUCUCUGCUCCAGUUUCUGAAUAUGAGACUUUGAACAAUAGGCAACAAAUACACGUGUGAUCUCCUACUCUGUCUUCCUCUGUCAGCUGUACUUUCAGUAUUUUAAAAAUACACAUUUCCAAUAUGUAAGACUAAUAAAAACAAUGUUUCAUAUCUGAUACAUAAAGCAUGAAGACCAAGCCUCACUACCAGAGAAAUAAACUAUUUUGACAUUUGAUUGGAGCUAAAUCUGUUUAGUUUAAAUAAAUCAUUUUACACAUUUAGAAACUUGUAAUAAAAUGUUAAGAUGGAAAAUAUGUGUGUUUAAUAUAUGUAUGUAUGAAAUACUAUAUAGUUAUUAAUCUAAUCACUUUUAUGCUGUUUUAUAGACUCUCUGAUAACAAAUAAAUAUUUCAUUUUCUUCAUUGUCUUCUAAAAUUGACUGAACAUUCAGGUUUUUAAAUGAAUAUGUCCUGUAUGAAACACACAUACUGCUUGUUUUACACCAUGAAGAUAUUACAGAUGAUAAUCAUAA